AAAAUUUAAAAUAAAGUACUUUAUAAGUUGUUAAAUCAUAUUUUUAAAUUAGGAAUUUCAGGAUGUUAAUAUUCCUAGAUGGUAUUUGGUAUCCUGUUGCUGUGACAUGAUAAAAUUGUCCAAAUUGACUUGGAGCCAUUAUGUGUGAUCCUUUUCUGACCUUUUAAAAAAAACUACUUGCAAAUUAAAACAUUGACAGUAGUUCAGCUGUUUUAUAAUAUGAAACUUAUUUGCCUUCUUGUCAAAAUAACACUUUAUCAGAGGCCCUAAGAAUUGGUGAACAUAAAAAAGAGGACGGAAGAGUCAGAAGUUUUGUUUGAAUCUUUUCUAAGUGCUUUUUAAAACCAUUCUAAUAUUCUUCCUAGAAUCUGUUACAAGAACUCUGUGAAAUAAUGGUUAUGAAAGACAUAGCACAGUUCCUGACACAUAAUAGUUUUGUAUAGCAUAUUGCCAGUUGUCAUAUUGCCAAUAACAAAUAAACGUUAUUGCCAAUAAUU